rnacentral:RNase_P_RNA from 1 species
AAAGAGGAUUGGACAGCGGCGCGUCUAACAGCGUGAGGAAAGUCCGAGCUUCACAGGGCAGGGUACCUGCUAACGGCAGGCUGAGGCGACUCAAGGGAAAGUGCAACAGAAAGAUACCGCCGCUGUAUUACCAGAAGUUUUUCUGGCGAACAGCGGUAAGGAUGGAAAGGCGAGGUAAGAGCUCACCGGGGCGCGGGAGACCGCGCUGCCAUGUAAACCCUAUCCGAAGCAACAUCGACCGGGGCGAUUUCGGCGGCCCGCCGUGUCCCAACAGAUGGCUAGAGCUGCUGCGGCAACGCGCAGCCCAGAAAGAUCGUUGUCCACGACAGAACUCGGCUUAUAGAUCCCCUUUCUAC